GACGAACGCUGGCGGCGCGCUUAACACAUGCAAGUCGAACGGAAAGGCCUGCUUUCCCUUGUGGAUUGCGGGUACUCGAGUGGCGAACGGGUGAGUAACACGUGAGUGAUCUGCCCCCAACUUGGGUAUAAGCCUGGGAAACUGGGUCUAAUUCCCGAUAGGACUGCAGGGUGGUGCCUGUGGUGGAAAACGAUUUUCUAGUGGUUGGGGAUGAGCUCGCGGCCUAUCAGCUUGUUGGUGGGGUAAUGGCCUACCAAGGCGGCGACGGGUAGCCGGCCGGGGAGGGUGGACGGCCACAUUGGGACUGGGAUACGGCCCAGACGCCUACGGGAGGCAGCAGUGGGGAAUAUUGCACAAUGGGCGGAAGCCUGAUGCAGCGACGCCGCGUGGGGGAUGACGGCCUUCGGGUUGUAAACUCCUUUCGACCGCGAGGAAGCCACCUGGUUGGAAGGGUGGUGACGGUAGUGGUAGAAGAAGCACCGGCUAACUACGUG
rnacentral:rRNA from 1 species